UCACACCGCCAUCUCUCUCUCUUCUUUCCCAUUUUUAUUUCAUCCUCCUUCACAUUCAAAAACCCUAAUCUACGUCAUGUGCCACCGGAUUUAAAAUAAAAAACCAUAGAUCUGAUUAUAUAUUUCAUGUUGUCGAUUCUUCUCUGAAAGGAUUCCGGUCAGCUAGGGUUUUCUCCGCAGCAACUGGUGGUGGAUUUCUCUCUGCCGAUCUAGGGUUUAACUCUAAAUCCCCACCUAAAGCAACUUAGCCAAAAGGUGCAUCAGGUUGGAGAGACUGUGAAUGUGGAUUACUUUUCAGUUGAUGGGGUUUCGGAUCAUGAAUUGCAUCUUGAUGAGGUUGUGAAACAAAGGGAGGAGCUUCAGCAUUUGGAGGUUAAUUUGAAGGCUAGAUUGAUUGCUAGAUCAGAAGUGACUGGGAUUCAUGAACGGUUUGAUUCGCAGAUUAAAGAGCAUAUUACUUCAAAUGUUAAACUUCAGGAACAACUGCAUGAAAGGGAAAAGACUAUAAUGGACUUGCAAAGAACUUUGGAUGAUAAGGAUAAAGAGCUUCAUGCAAUUAGAUUGGACCAUGAAGCGGCAUGGGCUAAAGAGGACCUCAUACGUGAGCAACAAAAAAAAUGAACUGGCAACUUUUCGGAGAGAACGUGAUAAUCCUGAAGCUGAAAAGGCUCAGCAUAUUAAAAAAAUCCAUGAAUUACAGAAACAUGUUCAAGAAAAGGAGAGGUAGCUCACGAAAUUGCAGGAACAGGUACCCUUUCAGCUAUUCUUUUGUAAUAUAAACCAAUACCAUCAUGAUUUCAAAGCUUUUUAAUCUUUAUUCUAAUUGCCACAAUAUCAUUGACUUGUGUUAUAUGUUAUAUCAAACUGAGCACAUCAAGUCAAAGCAUUUAUGAUGAUCUAUAAAGUUGGCUUUUAAAAGGCGCUACUGGCAUGCGCCUCAGGCACAAGGCUGGUCACUUCUGAAUUGAAAAGGCCUAAUGUGUACACAAGGCACACUAAAGGCGAGGCAGGCGCACAGAAAAGCGGCUUGAAGCGCACUCGGCUCCGGAGUCUACUGGUGUUGAACAUGUUGGAGGCAGUAUGUUUGAUCAUGUGCCUAAAGCUGAUGGAGUUUAUAUGACAGUUAGCCUUACACUUGAGUUUAUUACCUGAUCAUAAGUUGAGGACACUUUUUCAGCAACCUCUGAAUCACCUUCGAGAUUUAAAGGAAUUCAAUUCACUUCUAUCAUCUGGCAAUGGGAGGAAUGACUAAAACAGAGAGAUUCUUCGAGUCAAUGAGGUGGUUUAGUGAACACAUUCAUCUCUAUUUCAAAAUUAUAUUUUGAUCCACUAUUGAUGCGUAACAAGGUAAUUGAACUCAAAUCCCUUUAGUUGUUGAUAUGCAUUUAUGGUAGGGGUGUCAAUUGUGUCUGGUUGGCAGGUUGACAGGUUGCGGGUUGGCGGGCUGAAACCCGCACAUGUAAAUUCAGGUCAACCCGAACACGUCCCGUUUAACCCAUUUUUAAAUAGAGUAUGUUGACAAGUUAUAAACGGGUUGUUGGAUUGUAAGCGAGUUGUUGGUAACAUGUUUAAUAGUGAGUAUAAGUGGGAUAGGUAUAUAGUAUAGUGGGACAAAACUAACGUUAUUAUUACUAACCAUGUAAAAUGAAAAACAUAAAAAAUCUAAAAGUUUUCUUUUCUAAAUACUUAAAUGGGUUAUCGGUUAAACCGUUUUUAUAUGGUUCAACGCGAACCCAACCUGUUUUUAAUACGGGUCAACCCGAACCGGGCCCGUCUUUUAUACGUGUCAUGUCGUGUCUACCUAAAUGAAGUGUUUCUUCGUGUCAGGUUCGGGCCGCGUCAAGAGUUACCACUCCUAAUUUAUGGUAUACAUUUCACAAACCACAUAUUCUAAUUGCACUUAAAUAUGCAGGUUUAGGUUGGAUACAUUGCAAGCUUUUAAGGAAGGGCGUUAUGCUACCAAGAGCUGUCAGCUUGUGUGCAAAUAGGUCUAUCGACAACUGUUUUUAACAAUAUUUGUUUUUUAUAUAAGUUGGGGGUGUUAAAAUAUGUUAAUAAUCGUAACACGAGAACCAAUUGUGAGUAUAGUAGCAUCUACAUCUAUGUAUAAUUUAUUAAAUCGAUAAA